rnacentral:rRNA from 1 species
UACGUAGGGACCGAGCGUUGUCCGGAAUCAUUGGGCGUAAAGAGCGUGUAGGCGGCCACUUAAGUCCUGCGUGAAAUCUUGCGGCUCAACCGCAAGCGGUCGUGGGAAACUGGGUGGCUAGAGUGCGGGAGAGGAGAGUGGAAUUCCUGGUGUAGCGGUGGAAUGCGCAGAUAUCAGGAGGAACACCGGUGGCGAAGGCGGUUCUCUGGGCCUGUACUGACGCUGAGGAGCGAAAGCGUGGGGAGCGAACAGG